rnacentral:sRNA from 1 species
AAUUUUUUUAAGUUAAAAUGAAAGCGUUUUAACAAAUGAUUCUAGCAAUUAUUAGCCAUACUUAGGAGGAUUUAUUUCAAUGCAAAAUGGGAAAGUAAAAUGGUUUAACAAUGAAAAGGGUUACGGUUUUAUCGAAUCAGACGGCGGCGAAGAUAUUUUCGUUCACUUCACAGCGAUCCAAGGUGAUGGCUACAAAUCUUUAGAAGAAGGCCAAGCGGUAACAUUUGAAGUAGUAGAAGGUAAUCGCGGCGCUCAAGCAGCCAAUGUAGAAAAAGCCUAAUCCAGUUGCCAAAUAGACACGGACUUAAAACCGGUAUCCUUUUACCGGUUUUUUUA